AGAAUACACAGUCCUGGCAGCCACCAGCCUAUCAGUCAAAACAAUAUAUCAAGAAAGUCGACUGACAUCAACAUCCGCUGACUAAAUGUGGGACAACACAGGCCAGCGGACCCAUUGUAUGGAAUUCCACGUCGCUCUCUCAAGGUGUGUGAUUAACCCCUACUGUACAUAAGAGCAAACACUACAUCAAAGGCAGCCAUAGAGGGUGUCUGCAGGUGACAGGUCAUCGGGAGGUGAGAGGUCAGUUGCAAGCUGGCAUAGCAGCCAGUCUGAGAAUGGAUGAAGAAAACAAUCAAAGAAGAAAGCUGGUUGGCUGAGUGGAAGACCAGGACUCUGAAGAAUGACAGGAAUUCAGCCACUUGAGGAACAAUGUGAAACCAACAUGUUUUAGCUGCAAUAUCUUUUGUCCAUGUUACAUUGCAUUACAAUUGCCACCUUUGGGCUCACUGAAAGCAGUUGUACACUGCAGCUCUGUGGAGUCCCGAAAUACGAAAUAAAAAAUAAAAAUAAAAAGUGUGCUUAACAUAUGGCACUUAGUUUGUAGUGCUCAAAGCGCCAAGACAUUGGAAAAACUCAACAACAAUGUCGCUUUCAAAAAAUAAUGACCCGGCUACUCAAGCUAAUCCACAGAUUUGUUGUGAGCAGUUUCAUGUAGGAACUAUUUUCUUUCUACCGAUAGUUCCUAGGGUCAUGAUUUGGAUUCAACUUUAGGUCCCAGUUUCACAAAAUGAAAAAGCAGCCCUUGAGCAAGGCCCUUAACCCCAACUACUCCAGUGGAGCUGCUCAGUGGCCAGUAGAUCAGACUGUGUUGUGCUGGGCGGCUUCCAGGUGUGAAUGUGUGUAACUGUGCGAAUGUGAUCAGGGUGUUCCUGCAAAAUAGAAGCUUCCUCUCAGUGAAACUUCCCUGAAUAAAUAAAGGUUUUAAAAAAACG